GUAUUGUAUUGCGUUAGACGCGGUAAACAUUCCAUAAGACUUUUCUACAGUGUAUGUGUAAAGACGCAGAACUACAGGAGGAAGACGGCAUGUCCCCCAGACCAUAGAACUACGGAGUGUGCACAGGUGUGAGUGGAUGUGUUAACAGAGCGUGCACAUGCCCCCCGUUUGAGGGGGCCAGCAACAACUCGUGUCGACGACUCGGUAAUGAUCCUUCCGCAGGUUCACCUACGGAAA
rnacentral:misc_RNA from 1 species